rnacentral:rRNA from 1 species
AGUGAACGCUGGCGGUAGGCCUAACACAUGCAAGUCGAACGGCAGCACAGUAAGAGCUUGCUCUUACGGGUGGCGAGUGGCGGACGGGUGAGGAAUACAUCGGAAUCUACUUUUUCGUGGGGGAUAACGUAGGGAAACUUACGCUAAUACCGCAUACGACCUACGGGUGAAAGCAGGGGAUCUUCGGACCUUGCGCGAUUGAAUGAGCCGAUGUCGGGUUAGCUAGUUGGCGGGGUAAAGGCCCACCAAGGCGACGAUCCGUAGCUGGUCUGUGAGGCUGAUCAGCCACACUGGAACGGAGACACGGUCCAGACUCCUACGGGAGGCAGCAGUGGGGAAUAUUGGACAAUGGGCGCAAGCCUGAUCCAGCCAUACCGCGUGGGUGAAGAAGGCCUUCGGGUUGUAAAGCCCUUUUGUUGGGAAAGAAAAGCAGCAGGUUAAUACCCCGCUGUUCUGACGGUACCCAAAGAAUAAGCACCGGCUAACUUCGUG